GACGGACGUGUGCAAUAUGUCAUCGUUAAGUUGUAUUCAAACGAUUUAAAGUUAAGAGUAAUCGAACUUCUCAAGUGAGGAUAUAGUCAGAAUACGAUAAGGGAUAUGAAAAAGAAGUAUAAUGAAACAGGCGGUGUAUCUAACCGUAAGAAAAGUGGUCGUCCUCGUGUAACAAGUAGAAAAGACGAUAGAAAAUUGCGUGCAAUUGUUAAAAAUAUGAGGCGAGCGACAUCAAAAGAAAUAAGUGAACAGCGGACCUCGAGCGUCUGCGACCGUACUGUCAUAAAUCGAUUAAGUGGAAUGGGCUUUUCUCAUUUCGGAAGGCAAAAACAAAAUCUUUACUCACAGAGGAACACAAAAAGAAAGGGUUAAAAUGGUGUAAGGAGCACUCAAAUUGCACUAUGAAGGACUCGAGCAAAGUAAUAUUUAGUGACGAGUCUCGUGUUUAUCUCUUGGAGCAGGGGAUGCCGAAGGAAAAUUUGUUUGGCGGAGAUCUAACAAAAAAAUUUAAUGAAGAUUGCAUUGAUUAUGAACAAAAAUAUUCGCAAUCUUAUAUGAUAUGAAAUUGUAUGACGAAAAAGGGUGUGGGAAAACUAUGCAUUGUAUACCAGAACUGUGAAUUUCUAUGCAAAAUGAAGAUUGUUUAAGUUGAUUACAAUGUACGAGAGUACACAGAUAUUGUCCUUUAUUGUUGAGUUAAAGAUAAUGCAACAAUAUUUUGAAAUUCUUCCAA